CCUACGGGAGGCAGCAGUGAGGAAUAUUGGUCAAUGGCCGGAAGGCUGAACCAGCCAUGCCGCGUGAAGGUCAGUGCCCUAUGGGCGGUAAACUUCUUUUGUGCGGGAGCACUAAUGGUCACGUGUGGCCAGACGAGAGUACCGUACGAAUAAGCAUCGGCUAACUCCGUGACAGCAGCCGCGGUAAUACGGGGGAUGCAAGCGUGAUCCGGAUUUAUUGGGUGUAAAGGGGGCGCAGACGGCGAUGCAAGCCAGGAGUGACAGCCCGGGGCCCAACCCCGGGACUGCUCUUGGAACGGCGUGGCUGGAGUGCAGGAGGGGCAGGCGGAAUUCCUGGUGUAGCGGUGAAAUGCGUAGAUAUCAGGAGGAACACCGGGGGCGAAGGCGGCCUGCUGGACUGCAACUGACGUUGAGGCCCGAAAGCGUGGGGAGCAAACAGGAUUAGAUACCCGAGUAGUC
rnacentral:rRNA from 1 species